GACGAACGCUGGCGGCGUGCCUAAUACAUGCAAGUAGAGCGCAGUUGCGAACGGGUGAUUACCGCGUAGCUGACUGCCUCGUAGCGGGGGGUAACUAUUGGAACCGAUAGCUCGUACCGCAUACUGUGGGCGGGACCUCCGGUUGAUUAGCUAGUUGGUGAGGUAAAGGCUCACCAAGGCGACGGUACAUAGCCGACCUGGGAGGGUGACUGGCCAAACUGGGACUGGGAAACGGCCCAGACCCCUACGGGAGGCAGCAGUAGGGAAUCUUCGGCAAUGGAGGGAAGUCUGACCGAGCACAGCCGCGUGAGGGAAGAAGGUUUUCGGAUCGUAAAGGUCUGUUGUGUGAGAAGCGGUAACUAACCAGAAAGGGACGGCUAACUACGUGCCAGCAGCCGCGGUAAUAC
rnacentral:rRNA from 1 species